AGUUUUUGGUUUUCUCACCUGAAAACACACAUUUUAUUUAUUUAAUGUAUAUGAUCAGAAUGCUAUUGCAAUUAAGAAAGCCUAGUUAUGCUCACUGAACUGCCCAUGACUUUUCUAUUUGUGGGAGUCAAUAUAUCAGGCAGAAAUUAAAAUUAGCAUGACACAGUGGGCAGGUUUUUGCUCUUUUCCCCUUUGUGUUUUCCCUACAGAAUGUCACGCGUGAUUUAUGGAAAUUCUAGUAGUGAAAGAUGGAGAGGGAAAAAAAAGGGAGCAAAGGAUAUGUGGGACAUCCUGAAGCAGCUUUUGGUGAUGAACCAUCUGUUUCCAAGGCUGAGUGAUUUCUAUCUUAUGCUCACACCUGAGGCAUCUGAGCAACAAGGUUGAAGGUAACUGGAAGCAUACCCCCAAUAAUCCUCUCAUUGUGUGCACACCUUUCAUUGUGUGGGGAGGCAGGGGAAGAGGUAUAGCUCUCAUGACCUUACAGAGAAGCAAGGGCAUGGGGAAUGUUCACUUCAUAUGAAAACUGACACUGAGAAACAUUUCUUACUGAAAUGCUCAUGUAGAACUAAAUUUAAAAUCAGUGUCCCCAUUAGGACUCAGGGCAAGUGAUUAGCACUUAGCUUUGGAAGAUGAUAGCAAUUUGAUCCUUCUUUGCAACUGUACAAAUAUUCCCUGACUGGGGAGAUAGCUCAAUAGCACAGUACGUGCCUGGCAAAGGCAAGGUGCUGAGCUCGAUUCCUGGUACCAAAAAAUAUAAAAUAAAAUAAAAUAAAAAUUCCCUUAGACAUGAAACUGGUAUGUUUCAGUGUUAACUUCUGUCUUCCCUGAGUCCCUGCUCCAUUUAUUUCUCAAACUUUUUAGUCCAUUCUCUCUUCUCAUCUCAAACACCAUUUCCAUCUUGUGUGAGAGUGACUAGCAAAAUGCACCUAGUCAUUUGGUCUGUAGGCUUCCCCGAAAUAUCAUCUCUCUUUGCUAAUCAGAGUGUUUGCACAUCAUCACCCCUCCC
rnacentral:lncRNA from 1 species